rnacentral:rRNA from 1 species
UGGGGAAUAUUGCGCAAUGGGCGAAAGCCUGACGCAGCGACGCCGCGUGAGGGAUGAAGGUUUUCGGAUCGUAAACCUCUGUCAGAAGGGAAGAAACCGCACUGUGCUAAUCAGCAGUGCCUUGACGGUACCUUCAAAGGAAGCACCGGCUAACUCCGUGCCAGCAGCCGCGGUAAUACGGAGGGUGCAAGCGUUAAUCGGAAUUACUGGGCGUAAAGCGCACGUAGGCUGCUUUGUAAGUCAGGGGUGAAAUCCCACGGCUCAACCGUGGAACUGCCUUUGAUACUGCUUAGCUUGAAUCCGGGAGAGGGUGGCGGAAUUCCAGGUGUAGGAGUGAAAUCCGUAGAUAUAUGGAGGAACAUCAGUGGCGAAGGCGGCCACCUGGACCGGUAUUGACGCUGAUGUGCGAAAGCGUGGGGAGCAAACAGG